rnacentral:rRNA from 1 species
UUCGGGCUCUCGGUGAUUGCUAAAUAACUUAACGAAUCGCAUGGCCUUGCGCGGGAUGGUUCAUUCAAAUUUCUGGCCCUAUCAACUUUCGAUGGUAGGAUAGUGGCCUACCAUGGUGGCAACGGGUAACGGGGAAUUAGGGUUCGAUUCCGGAGAGGGAGCCUGAGAAACGGCUACCACAUCCAAGGAAGGCAGCAGGCGCGCAAAAUUACCCAAUCCCGAUACGGGGAGGUAGUGACAAUAAAUACUGAUACGGGGCUCUUUUGGGUCUCGUAAUUGGAAUGAGAACAAUUUAAAUCCCUUAACGAGGAACAAUUGGAGGGCAAGUCUGGUGCCAGCAGCCGCGGUAAAUUCCAGCUCCAAUAGCGUAUAUUAAAGUUGUUGCAGUUAAAAAGCUCGUAGUUGAACCUUGGGUUCUUGGCUUGGCCGGUCCGCCAUCACCGGAGUACUAGGUCCAGGAUGGGACCUUUCCUUCUGGGGAACCUCAUGGCCUUCACUGGCUGUGGG